UGAACAGUAUACUUCUGACAGAUAUUUGGUUCUCCUUGAAAAAUACUGGGUCAUAACAUAUCUUAAUUACAAUCCCGAGUAAUCUGAAUAUAUUUAUUCAGAAAUGCACAAUAUAUGUGUAUAAAUCUACAUGUUUUAAUACGACUGCAAGAAAAAAUGAGAAAAAAAAAUGGUCGUAUAUUAAAUUGCUAUCACGUCGUCGUCGUCAGCGUCGCCGAAGACAGAUGUUUUCCGGAUAAUAACUUUUGUUUAAGUAAAUAGAAAUCAAUCAAAUUUUAACACAAGGUUUAUAACCACUAAAGAAAGGUUGGGAUUGAUUUGGGGGGGGGG
rnacentral:lncRNA from 1 species